UACGGGGGGGGCAAGCGUUGUUCGGAAUUACUGGGCGUAAAGGGCUCGUAGGCGGCCAACUAAGUCAUACGUGAAAUCCCUCGGCUUAACCGGGGAACUGCGUCUGAUACUGGAUGGCUUGAGAUUGGGAUAGGGAAGUGGAAUUCCCGGUGUAGUGGUGAAAUGCGUAGAUAUCGGGAGGAACACCAGUGGCGAAGGCGACUUCCUGGCCUGUUCUUGACGCUGAGGCGCGAAAGCUAGGGUAGCAAACGGG
rnacentral:rRNA from 1 species